rnacentral:rRNA from 1 species
UGAGCAAUCUGCCCUUCUCAUCGGAAUAAGCGUUGGAAACGACGUCUAAUGCCGAAUACGACCUCCUUUCGCAUGAUCGGAGGUGGAAAGCUCCGGCGGUGAAGGAUGAGCUCGCGGCCUAUCAGCUUGUUGGUGAGGUAAUAGCUCACCAAGGCGAUGACGGGUAGCCGGCCUGAGAGGGUGACCGUCCACACUGGGACUGAGACACGGCCCAGACCUCUACGGGAGG